UUCGCAAUGCCCGAAAGGGUGACGAAGCGACGCCGCGUGUGGGAAGAAGGCCUUCGGGUUGUAAACCACUGUCGGGAGUUAAGAAAUGUAAGGAUAUGAAUAGUGUCCUUGCUUGACUAAGGCUCCGGAGGAAGCCACGGCUAACUCUGUGCCAGCAGCCGCGGUAAUACAGAGGCGGCAAGCGUUGUUCGGAAUUAUUGGGCGUAAAGAGCACGUAGGCGGCUGUGUAAGUCGGUUGUGAAAGCCUUCCGCUCAACGGAAGAACAGCAGCCGAUACUGCAUGUCUUGAGUGCGGGAGGGGAGAGUGGAACUUCUGGUGGAGCGGUGAAAUGCGUAGAUAUCAGAAGGAACGCCGGCGGCGAAAGCGACUCUCUGGACCGCAACUGACGCUGAGUGUGCGAAAGCUAGGGGAGCAAACGGGAUUAGAUACCCCGGUAGUCCUAGCCGUAAACGAUGGGCACUAAGUAGAGGGGUUUU
rnacentral:rRNA from 1 species